rnacentral:rRNA from 1 species
GAUGAACGCUGGCGGCGUGCCUAAUACAUGCAAGUCGAGCGAACGGACGAGAAGCUUGCUUUUCUGAUGUUAGCGGCGGACGGGUGAGUAACACGUGGAUAACCUACCUAUAAGACUGGGAUAACUUCGGGAAACCGGAGCUAAUACCGGAUAAUAUUUUGAACCGCAUGGUUCAAAAGUGAAAGACGGUCUUGCUGUCACUUAUAGAUGGAUCCGCGCUGCAUUAGCUAGUUGGUAAGGUAACGGCUUACCAAGGCAACGAUGCAUAGCCGACCUGAGAGGGUGAUCGGCCACACUGGAACUGAGACACGGUCCAGACUCCUACGGGAGGCAGCAGUAGGGAAUCUUCCGCAAUGGGCGAAAGCCUGACGGAGCAACGCCGCGUGAGUGAUGAAGGUCUUCGGAUCGUAAAACUCUGUUAUUAGGGAAGAACAUAUGUGUAAGUAACUGUGCACAUCUUGACGGUACCUAAUCAGAAAGCCACGGCUAACUACGUGCCAGCAGCCGCGGUAAUACGUAGGUGGCAAGCGUUAUCCGGAAUUAUUGGGCGUAAAGCGCGCGUAGGCGGUUUUUUAGUCUGAUGUGAAAGCCCACGGCUCAACCGUGGAGGGUCAUUGGAAACUGGAAAACUUGAGUGCAGAAGAGGAAAGUGGAAUUCCAUGUGUAGCGGUGAAAUGCGCAGAGAUGUGGAGGAACACCAGUGGCGAAGGCGACUUUCUGGUCUGUAACUGACGCUGAUGUGCGAAAGCGUGGGGAUCAAACAGGACUAGAUACCCUGGUAGUCCACGCCGUAAACGAUGAGUGCUAAGUGUUAGGGGGUUUCCGCCCCUUAGUGCUGCAGCUAACGCAUUAAGCACUCCGCCUGGGGAGUACGACCGCAAGGUUGAAACUCAAAGGAAUUGACGGGGGCCCGCACAAGCGGUGGAGCAUGUGGUUUAAUUCGAAGCAACGCGAAGAACCUUACCAAAUCUUGACAUCCUUUGACAACUCUAGAGAUAGAGCCUUCCCCUUCGGGGGACAAAGUGACAGGUGGUGCAUGGUUGUCGUCAGCUCGUGUCGUGAGAUGUUGGGUUAAGUCCCGCAACGAGCGCAACCCUUAAGCUUAGUUGCCAUCAUUAAGUUGGGCACUCUAAGUUGACUGCCGGUGACAAACCGGAGGAAGGUGGGGAUGACGUCAAAUCAUCAUGCCCCUUAUGAUUUGGGCUACACACGUGCUACAAUGGACAAUACAAAGGGCAGCGAAACCGCGAGGUCAAGCAAAUCCCAUAAAGUUGUUCUCAGUUCGGAUUGUAGUCUGCAACUCGACUACAUGAAGCUGGAAUCGCUAGUAAUCGUAGAUCAGCAUGCUACGGUGAAUACGUUCCCGGGUCU